UACGAAGGGGGGCUAGCGUUGCUCGGAAUCACUGGGCGUAAAGGGUGCGUAGGCGGGUCUUUUAAGUCAGGGGUGAAAUCCUGGAGCUCAACUCCAGAACUGCCGUUGAUACUAUCUAUCUUGAAUACCGUGGAGGUGAGCGGAAUAUGUCAUGUAGCGGUGAAAUGCUUAGAUAUGACAUAGAACACCAAUUGCGAAGGCAGCUCGCUACACGAAUAUUGACUCUGAGGCACGAAAGCGUGGGGAUCAAACAGG
rnacentral:rRNA from 1 species